rnacentral:rRNA from 1 species
UGGGGAAUAUUGGACAAUGGGCGCAAGCCUGAUCCAGCCAUGCCGCGUGAGUGAUGAAGGCCCUAGGGUUGUAAAGCUCUUUCACCGGUGAAGAUAAUGACGGUAACCGGAGAAGAAGCCCCGGCUAACUUCGUGCCAGCAGCCGCGGUAAUACGAAGGGGGCUAGCGUUGUUCGGAUUUACUGGGCGUAAAGCGCACGUAGGCGGACUAUUAAGUCAGGGGUGAAAUCCCGGGGCUCAACCCCGGAACUGCCUUUGAUACUGGUAGUCUUGAGUUCGAGGGAGGUGAGUGGAAUUCCGGGUGUAGAGGUGAAAUUCGUAGAUAUUCGGAGGAACACCAGUGGCGAAGGCAGCUCACUGGCUCGAUACUGACGCUGAGGUGCGAAAGCGUGGGGAGCAAACAGG